ACUCAAAUGAAUUGACGGGGACCCGCACAAGCAGUGGAGCAUGUGGUUUAAUUCGACGAUAAACGAGGAACCUUACCUGGGCUCAACUACUAGCUGCAUAUAACCAGAAAUGGAUAUAGCCUUCGAGGGUGCUAGAUAGGUGCUGCAUGGUUGCCGUCAGCUCGUGCCGUGAGGUGUACCGUUAAGUCGGGAAACGAGCGCAACCCACGUCGUGUGUUAAAUAUACACGCGAGACUGCCUACGCAAGUAGGAGGAAGGAGUGGACGACGUCAAAUCAGCAUGGCUCUUACGUCCAGGGCCACACACAUGCUACAAUGGCCGGUACAAUGGGUUGCUAAACCGCGAGGUGGAGCUAAUCCCAUCAAAACCGGUCUCAGUUCAGAUUGAAGGCUGCAACUCGCCUUCAUGAAGUUGGAAUUGCUAGUAAACGGAUAUCAGCCACGGUCCGUUGAAUACGUUCUCGGGUCUUGUACACACCGCCCGU
rnacentral:rRNA from 1 species